GACCCUCCUUUUCUGGUAAUAGGAGCAGGUCCCCACACAUCAGAGUGAAUAAGAUCAAAUGGUGCAACAGAAUGAGAAACACUACGAGGAAAAGGUAAAGCUGAAAAUUUGGCUAAUUUGCAACCACUACAAUUAGAAAUGUCAUGAGUUUGCAAAUUUCCCAAAUGACCCGUAGAAACUAAAAAUUUCAAACGACUAGCGAAAACAUGUCCAAGGUGAGAAUGCUACAAAUAAAAACUAGAAGACGAUGAAUUCAAAGAAAAAGAUGACAAGUCAACACCGGAGGCUGCAACAUAUGUUAGUCUCAGAUUGUCCAGAACAUAUGACCCUCAUUGUCU
rnacentral:lncRNA from 1 species